rnacentral:lncRNA from 1 species
UUUUUUUUUUUUUUUUAGAGAUAGAUAGCACGCUACCCGUUUCAUUUAUUUCAUUUAGAAAUAAACUUAGCUGAAAAUGUGAAUCAACUAGGAUUCGAACUUGGGUCUCGGGUACCAAUCAUCAAACCCUUUGCUAUUUGCUCUAGGGACAGUCGGUGACACUUAGAAAUUGUGUGCAUGCCGUCCUCGUAUUGUUUUGUAUCGUAGCGUGCCCUGUAUACUUGAUAAGAAGUCAAAGGCUUUGAAAGUAUAGUUGUUUUAAAAAAAGUUC